UCUUAUAUGAAAUACAUAUAUUUGUAUAUAAUGUGAAUACCAAAGAAAAUCAAAUACUUACAUAAUAUUUUAAAAUAGCAUAACAUUAUAUACUUUAACAAGAGAUAUAUAUAUUAUAUUUUAUCAUUAUUAAAAUUAUAUGUUUUCUUAAUAUAUAAUUUGCUUUAAAAUUUUAUGUUUGUAGAACUUAGUAUAUGAUCAAGAUACCAAAGCAAAUAUGAAUUCUCAUUUUAAGAUUAUUUAAAAUAAAUCUCAAUUUACCAAUCAAUAAAUCUAAGGCAUAACAUUAUUUAGAAUUUAUAAAAUACUUUAAUUAUUGUAAAUAUUGAUAUGUGUUCAUGAACUUCCAAAAAUGUAUGAGUUACUUAUGUAUGUACUUAUAUAUAUGCAUGAGAUUUUAAAGUAUUAUCGUUAUAUUAAUUUAUGUAAUUUGAAAUCUGAUACUUUAGUUUAUUUUUUAUUUUAUUUUAAACACAAUAUAUCUUGAGGUAUAAAUAAUUUUCCUAAAAUAUAUUUACAUAUUUAAGAUAACAACCAGCCUAAAUGCAAAUAAGAAAAUUAAUGAAAAUUUUAAUAUAUUUAGAAUAAAACAUUUAAUAGUUGAUUUCAGAAAAAAUAGAUACAAUCGAAUAUAUCCAAAUGAUAACUAAAUCGACUGUAAAAAACAACUAGAUAUAACAUAUCUAAAAUAAUACUAAUUAAAUAAAAAAAUAUAAUAUUAUUAGUAUAAAUUAUGCACACAAUUUAUAAAUUAAUUUAAAAUCAAAAAUAAAUAGCAAUCAAUUAUUAUAAUAUAUUUACUUUAUGAAUAUUUAUAUCCGUGCAUGAGCACGGGAAAAUCACCUAGUAAUUAAUAUUAGUAACGUUUGGUUUGUUUAGUUCAAGACAACCCCGGUUUUGUAAUUUCAAAAUUAACAAUCAUUCUCUCUGGUUCGGUUUUUGUUUACUAAUAAAUGGGCUUUUUCUAAAGCCUACGAAAUAUAAAUUUUUGUUUACGGUGAUUAUAGUUUCUUCAAUAUUAAAAGCCCAAAAGUAAAAGUCACUAAAUUCGUCAUAAUCCACAGCAAAAUCUAUAGAUUUCUUUCUUAAUAAAAAGUUAUAGUCCACAGCAAAAUCUAUAGAUUUCUUUCCUGAUAAAAAGUCAUAGUCCACAAAAAAAUCUUGACUUUGAAAUUAGUCAUAAUCCACAGCGAAAUCUAUAGAUUUCUUUCUCUAAAAGAACAUGGAUUUCAAUUAUUUAUAUUAAUCUUUUACACUUGAUAAUCGAAUAAUUUCAUUGAGCAUGGCCAAUUAGAUUUCAAGUUCAGGGUUCUCCACUUGAUACUCAUCGAUCAUUAGACUAUCGAAUUCAUCAUCUCCGAACCUGAACGUUUCAGUCGUCACCAAUCAAAAACACUUCCACCUUCUUCUCUGAUCAUAAUAAUCUUAGGAAAACAUGGUGGAGCUCUAUUGUAUCUGUGGAAAAUGGAUACAAAAUGACAGGGCUCAAUGGGAGUUUGUAGUAGAUACCACAAGACUGGGGUCACUCUCUGAGAUUGAUCAAAACGUUCCUUUCAAUGUUUUAGUUACGACUGUUACCGAAGAUUUGGAUGUCCCUGAUAAAGACAUUGCACUCAGCUAUGGAGUUCCACUGGAUGCGAGAUGUGCGAAACCCAUGAUACAGAACACUCCACCGGUCGAUAUACGGAACGAUCGCCAACUAAGAGCUUACAUGAACAAGAUCAAAGAAGAAGGUGAUAGGCGUCGCAAUCCUCCGUGUAUUCCUUUGUGUGUAGCUCUAUUUGACAAACCCAAACCCAGAUUCAGCUGUUCAUUGGGAAGAUUGUUUUCUAAGGAGCCAUGAACUUUCAAAUUUGGUUGAAAUAAAACCUCAGUUUUUAUUCAGACCAAAAAAUAAUCAUUCAAUUUUUGUUGACAUGCUAUUUUAAUCAUAAACUUUCGUUGACCAUAUCAUUUUAGUCAUAUGUUAGCCAACGGCCAUAGUUAACUAUCAAUAAGCCUAAAAUAACUUUUAAAAUUGAUGAUAUUUUUCGUAAAAUGUAAAUAAGCAUUUUUCAAAAAAAAAUUGGAUGUUAACUUUUAGAAUAAAUUAUUAGUAACUAUAUUAAUUUUAAAUAAAUAAAAUAUAUAUUAUUCACUAUUUUCUUCUGAAUAAAAUUUAUAUAAUUUUCAUUUAUGUUCUAAAAUAAUAAGUUAAUAUAUCAUUAGUUUAAUACCUAUUUAUUAAAUAAUUAUCAAUAAAUUAUAUAUUUACUUAUAACUAUUCGUAUAAUCCUAAUUCAAUUAUUCUUCAUAAUUUAACUGUCCAAAAUUUAAAUUUUGUUU